rnacentral:snRNA from 1 species
GAAAUUUGCUCUUUUAGUAUUUCUCUAGUAGGUUUAGUCAAGGAGAAACCCUC